ensembl:lncRNA
UAAUCCUGCAAUUCACAACCAAAUGACCUUGGAGUCCUUCGAAGUCCAAACCAGAUGUUUACAUCUGCACUGCAGAUGUAAGGUGUUGUGCGAAUCAACUUUACCGCCAGUAAUACUACUACUGCCUAAAUCUGUCAAAACAAAGUUCUGCAGCUAACAGUGAAAGACUUUGAGAACAUUGUUGAUUUUCCGAUCGUCACGCUGAUACGGCAUCUUGCAAUCGGAGUUGCCCUUGAGGAGCAGAAUGCAAUCACAACGACAAAAGCCGCUACUCACUGUUCCAACCGUUUCCUGUUUUGUUUCAUUGCUUCUCCUCACCUUUCCUUUUUUUUCCACCAAACUCGGAGGACAAAGGGUUCAACCUGCCUUUCCAGCUCCUUGCUCGUCAGGCCCGGGAGUCACAUAUUAAUUCCGGGCCGGGUGAAAACCCCGUCGGCCAUUAAGAUCAGGUGACAGCUCAUUUUCCUUGGAUGGCCGCGUGAGGCGAUGCCAGUGAUGGGAUGGUUCUGUUUUCCCCCGGUCUGUAACCUCAUUAACUUAUUGGAAUAAAGACAACGCAGAGUUGUUCGCACUAAGCUGUAAUUAUGCUGAUUUACUCACUUUCUGCUCUCACUCACUCUCUUCUCUUCCCAUUUCCUAUUUUAAUUAGAUCCUCCUCUACUCAAACAUUGACAAUGUGGAUUUGUGGCUUUUGACUCAUGAAUCAAGCAACCACUCACCCAUCGCUUCUCAUAUGAAUUUGAAUGCUGUGUGUGCGUGCGAGAGAGGAGAUAGGAGAGGGAAGGUGGAGGCUGAAGAAGCAUCCCCGUGCAAACAUGCCUUAUGUCUUCACUAGUCAUAUAUUACCCGGCCCGACAAGGCUACAUUCCACGAGACUGUCAGCGGGUCGGAGAGGACAAGUGUGUGGAAAUUUAUUCCCCUGCCGCUGCACAUGAUUGGUGGCCUGACCUUGAUCUUCUUUUUCCUUUUCAAGUCAGAGACAAGUGUGAAAAGAAGGGAAUAAAGGGUCAGGAGAGAGAGAAAGAGAGUGACGCUUGGAUGAAUACACGCUUUGUGCAUCUGUCUCAUGUGGAUCGCCGUUGAUCCGGUCUUGUUUGCCCGGCGGUAGGGGCACUCACAACCUACGCACGAACAACAUGAGGGUUAAAAAACAUAAGCCAAAGCCCACUUUGUUUGUCCACUUAAGUCAACUCUGACUGAACUAUGGAUUUGCGAGGGAAGCCUAAACCCGAUGCAAAAAUGUUAUUUCAAGUGUGCCUGCCUAAAAACCUGUGAAACUGUCACACCUAAUAACGCCUUCGGGCCCCGAAACAUUUAAAAAGAUCUUUUGUUUCCACAGACCUCAAACAAACCCUCAGUUUGAAACAGCGAGAUCCAUUGACUCCCUCGUCUGAGCUCUGUGAGAAGAGUUCACCGUAGGCAGAUAUUUGCAGUCUCUGUGUGGCUUACGGUGGAGAGAGGCUCGUUCAGACCUCUGUCCUCCGCUGGGUUCAUUCAGCGCACAUCAGACCGUGUGGUUGGGGGGGUGGGGGAUAAAGUAGCAGAGGACAGAGAAACACGGGGGUUACCUCGUUUAUUUUGGCCCCUCGGCCGUCGGUCACGGCGCGUAGUGCUCGCCGGAUGCUCGGUUUCAGGGCGCAGGGAGGCGGUAAUUGCAUCUCGUCUGAGAGGACCGCGAGUCGUUUCUUAAAGAGAAAGUUUUCGAGCUUCUGAAAGGAAUUUCUAACCGGUCCGGGAAAGUUUUCAGGAACGUGCGAAUCGCUGUUGUCAAGUAGACGCAUUUUUAUUAGAUGGAAAAGAGGUUACGGUGUUGCGGCUCACAGGAGCCGCAGUAUUCUUUGGUGUUACAAGGUUGGAACUGCAUACUGAUUAUUUUGCUGUUCGUAACUUGCCUCAAGGUAGGAAAUUAGAAGUUUUUCUUUUUUUUUUUUUUUUAGAAUUACUGACUUUUGAAGGCCAUGAAUAAAAACCUGAUCAUUUCUUUCUCAAUAUGAGAGCAAACAAAGACUGUAGAUUUAUGUAUUUAAACAGAAGUUUACAAAAAAAGGACUUACUACAUUCAAUUUUGAGUAUGCAGUUGUCAGUGAAAGAGUGAUUAAAUCUAAUUACUGUGUUGUUAUUAUUGGAUGGACUCCACUCUGACACAAUUACUCUGGGAAAUAAUAGUAUAAUCAACUGUGGGUGUCUUCAGCAAGGUAUUGUAAAAAAAAAGGAACCAUGAACGCUGGUUAAAGAAGUCGUUUCUUAGAUGCUGUUAUAUUUCAUGUGUUCAUCACAGCUGUUAGGGAAUGUCGCGUUGAUCCAUUCACUCAUGUUUGAGUCUGGAACAAAGUGUUGUGUUGACGCCCGGCUCGCCACGUGGCUCCACCGGGCGUCCGGGAUGGAACCACCACCAAUGCUACCAGCAGUAGCAACGCGGAGCUGCUGCAGAGCCGGUGGCGUUUAGCUGAGGGUGGGGGGGGGGGGGGGG